ACGGAGGGUGCAAGCGUUAUCGGAAUUACUGGGCGUAAAGCGCGCGUAGGCGGUUUGUUAAGUGAGAUGUGAAAGCCCAGGGCUCAACCUUGGAACUGCAUCUCAUACUGGCAGCUAGAGUAUGGUAGAGGAGGUAGAAUUCCACGUGUAGCGGUGAAAUGCGUAGAGAUGUGGAGGAUACCAGUGGCGAAGGCGGCCUCCUGGACUAAUACUGACGCUGAGGUGCGAAAGCGUGGGGAGCAAACAGGAUUAGAUACCCGCGUAGUC
rnacentral:rRNA from 1 species